ensembl:lincRNA predicted gene 28579
UUUCCUGUAGCGGGAAUGAGCUGCUAGCACUCAUGAUCUGCAAUCUGAUCCCCAUUUAGACUUUGUUAAGAGGUAACUGCAAUGAGCUCUUAUGAAUAUUUCAUGGCUAAGUCGGCCAUACUUUGACACGGCCAUUUUGUAGUCAUUUGUCUUACAUCUAAAGAGCAUCUUAUAAUCCAACAAGUGUAUUCUGAUAGUUAUAUUAAGCAGGAUUAGAUCUUAUUUUCUUCACAAAGAUAACUGUGCUAUUCAUGCAUCUUCAAGUCUGUCCUUUUUACACUGUAUAUAUUGCGGUAGGCAGAAUUGGAUAUAUGAAAAUAUGAUAAUAAGCCUAGACUUUCUUGAUACUUAUAAAACAAUAAAAACAUAC